CUCCUCCCCAGUUACCGCUUGGCAUCCAGCCAUCCAGUGGGCUGCUGUACGAUGGACUCUGCAGGCCCAUUCCACAUAAGAGUCCCCAACCAGCUUGUUGGUUUCUCUAAACCUCCGCCUGUACGCCUCUGGGGUCACCGCAUACCUGGCUAGGAGCGCCUCUUUCACAGCCCGGUAGCUGGUGAUCUCCUCCUCUGGGAUGGCCCGAAAUGCCUCACUAGCCCGGCCAGAUAAUUUCCCAGAGAGGAUGGUGACCCAUUCAUCUGCAGGUACCUGAUGUAGCGCACACUGCCUCUCAAAGUCUGCUAAAAAUCCAUCAAUCUCUC